AGAAUCAACGCUGGCGGCGUGCCUAACACAUGCAAGUCGAACGAGAAAGUGGAGCAAUCCAUGAGUAAAGUGGCGCACGGGUGAGUAACACGUGACUAACCUACCUUUUAGUGGGGGAUAACCUAGGGAAACCUGGGCUAAUACCGCAUAAUACCUACGGGUCAAAGCAGCAAUGCGCUGAAAGAGGGGGUCGCGGUCGAUUAGUUAGUUGGCAGGGUAAUGGCCUACCAAGACUGUGAUCGAUAUCCGGCCUGAGAGGGCGCACGGACACACUGGAACUGAAACACGGUCCAGACUCCUACGGGAGGCAGCAGUGGGGAAUUUUGCGCAAUGGGGGAAACCCUGACGCAGCAACGCCGCGUGGAGGAUGAAGUCCCUUGGGACGUAAACUCCUUUCGAUCGGGACGAUAAUGACGGUACCGGAAGAAGAAGCCCGGCUAACUCGUGCCAGCAGCCGC
rnacentral:rRNA from 1 species